CGAGACUAGAACGUUGAUAGGCAGGGUGUGUAAGCGUUGUGAGGCGUUGAGCUAACCUGUACUAAUUGCCCGUGAGGCUUAACCAUACAACACCCAAGGGGUUU
rnacentral:rRNA from 1 species